rnacentral:lncRNA from 1 species
GUUUUAAAUUAUUAUCUUUUUCCCUUUACAUUGUGUUUAAAAAUAGCAUUGAAAAAUCAUUUUUUUUGUUUCGUCUGACUGCAAGGUAAAAUUCAACAGGUUUUAAAAGUCUGUAUAUGAUGAACAACUGGUAUGUAGUGAAAAAGGGAGUUUAACCCAAAUGAGACAGCAACCCAACAAUAAGUCUAAGAUCAGUUGACAAUUGUUUAAAAAUAACAGAACUUAGUCUUUCCAAUACAAGAG